GUGGAGAUUACUGGUGUGAGAGUUCAGACGGAGCGAGAAGCAACGAGGUCCACAUCACUGUAACUGGUGGUCAGGUGAUCCUGGAUAUUCCUGCACGUCCUGUGAUGGAGGGAAGUGAUGUCACUCUGUUCUGUAGAACCAGGGAUGGUUCCAGUGAACCAGCUGUUUUCUACAGAAACAAAACCUUCAUUACAGCUGCACCUGAAACAGGUUUCACCAUCAGUCCAGUCCAACAGUCUGAUGAAGGUUUCUACAGGUGUGAUGUUGGAUAUGUUGGACGUUCAGCAGAGAGCUGGCUGUCUGUCAGAGCUCGUCCUCUUCCUCCUCCUUUACCUCC